rnacentral:rRNA from 1 species
CAAAGGUGAGCCAGUACAGGAUGGACCCGCGUCUGAUUAGCUAGUUGGUAAGGUAACGGCUUACCAAGGCGACGAUCAGUAGCCGACCUGAGAGGGUGAUCGGCCACAUUGGAACUGAGACACGGUCCAAACUCCUACGGGAGGCAGCAGUGGGGAAUAUUGCACAAUGGGCGAAAGCCUGAUGCAGCAACGCCGCGUGAGUGACGAAGGCCUUCGGGUCGUAAAACUCUGUCCUCAAGGAAGAUAAUGACGGUACUUGAGGAGGAAGCCCCGGCUAACUACGUGCCAGCAGCCGCGGUAAUACGUAGGGGGCUAGCGUUAUCCGGAUUUACUGGGCGUAAAGGGUGCGUAGGCGGUCUUUCAAGUCAGGAGUGAAAGGCUACGGCUCAACCGUAGUAAGCUCUUGAAACUGGGAGACUUGAGUGCAGGAGAGGAGAGUGGAAUUCCUAGUGUAGCGGUGAAAUGCGUAGAUAUUAGGAGGAACACCAGUUGCGAAGGCGGCUCUCUGGACUGUAACUGACGCUGAGGCACGAAAGCGUGGGGAGCAAACAGGAUUAGAUACCCUGGUAGUCCACGCUGUAAACGAUGAGUACUAGGUGUCGGGGGUUACCCCCUUCGGUGCCGC